rnacentral:rRNA from 1 species
UACAGAGGUCCCAAGCGUUGUUCGGAUUCACUGGGCGUAAAGGGUGCGUAGGCGGUUGGGUAAGUCUGAGGUGAAAUCUCCGAGCUUAACUCGGAAACUGCCUUGGAUACUAUCCAGCUUGAGGGUUGGAGGGGGGACUGGAAUUCUUGGUGUAGCAGUGAAAUGCGUAGAUAUCUGGAGGAACACCGGUGGCGAAGGCGGCAUUCUGGACCGACAUUGACGCUGAGGAGCGAAAGCCAGGGGAGCAAACGGG